rnacentral:rRNA from 1 species
GGGCGUAGACCCGAAACCAGGUGAUCUAUCCAUGGCCAGGAUGAAGGUGCGGUAACACGUACUGGAGGUCCGAACCCACUAACGUUGAAAAGUUAGGGGAUGAGCUGUGGAUAGGGGUGAAAGGCUAAACAAACCUGGAAAUAGCUGGUUCUCUCCGAAAACUAUUUAGGUAGUGCCUCGUGUCUCACCUUCGGGGGUAGAGCACUGUCAUGGUUGGGGGGUCUAUUGCAGAUUACCCCGCCAUAGCAAACUCCGAAUACCGAAGAGUGCAAUCACGGGAGACAGACAUCGGGUGCUAACGUCCGGUGUCAAGAGGGAAACAACCCAGACCGCCAGCUAAGGUCCCCAAAUAUGGCUAAGUGGGAAACGAAGUGGGAAGGCUAAAACAGUCAGGAGGUUGGCUUAGAAGCAGCCACCCUUUAAAGAAAGCGUAAUAGCUCACUGAUCGAGUCGUCCUGCGCGGAAGAUGUAACGGGGCUAAGCCAUAUACCGAAGCUGCGGAUGCGAGCUAGUCUCGCAUGGUAGGAGAGCGUUCCGUAAGCCUGCGAAGGUGCGUUGAAAAGCGUGCUGGAGGUAUCGGAAGUGCGAAUGCUGACAUGAGUAGCGAUAAAGGGGGUGAAAGGCCCCCUCGCCGUAAGCCCAAGGUUUCCUACGCAACGUUCAUCGGCGUAGGGUGAGUCGGCCCCUAAGGCGAGGCAGAAAUGCGUAGCUGAUGGGAAGCAGGUCAAUAUUCCUGCACCGUCGUUAGAUGCGAUGGGGGGACGGAUCGCGGAAGGUUGUCCGGGUGUUGGAAGUCCCGGUCGCUGCAUUGGAGAAGGCGCUUAGGCAAAUCCGGGCGCAGGAUUCAAGGGUGUGGCGCGAGCUCCUUCGGGAGCGAAGCAAUUGGAAGUGGUUCCAAGAAAAGCCUCUAAGCUUCAGUCUAACGAUGACCGUACCGCAAACCGACACAGGUGGGCGAGAUGAGUAUUCUAAGGCGCUUGAGAGAACUCGGGAGAAGGAACUCGGCAAAUUGGUACCGUAACUUCGGGAUAAGGUACGCCCUGGUAGCUUGACUGGCCUGCGCCAGAAGGGUGAAGGGGUUGCAAUAAACUGGUGGCUGCGACUGUUUAAUAAAAACACAGCACUCUGCAAACACGAAAGUGGACGUAUAGGGUGUGACGCCUGCCCGGUGCCGGAAGAUUAAAUGAUGGGGUGCAAGCUCUUGAUUGAAGUCCCGGUAAACGGCGGCCGUAACUAUAACGGUCCUAAGGUAGCGAAAUUCCUUGUCGGGUAAGUUCCGACCUGCACGAAUGGCGUAACGAUGGCCACACUGUCUCCUCCCGAGACUCAGCGAAGUUGAAGUGUUUGUGAUGAUGCAAUCUACCCGCGGCUAGACGGAAAGACCCCAUGAACCUUUACUGUAGCUUUGCAUUGGACUUUGAACCGAUCUGUGUAGGAUAGGUGGGAGGCUAUGAAACCGGAAUGCUAGUUUCGGUGGAGCCGUCCUUGAAAUACCACCCUGGUUUGUUUGAGGUUCUAACCUUGGCCCGUGAUCCGGGUCGGGGACAGUGCAUGGUAGGCAGUUUGACUGGGGCGGUCUCCUCCCAAAGCGUAACGGAGGAGUACGAAGGUACGCUAGGUACGGUCGGAAAUCGUGCUGAUAGUGCAAUGGCAUAAGCGUGCUUAACUGCGAGACCGACAAGUCGAGCAGGUGCGAAAGCAGGUCAUAGUGAUCCGGUGGUUCUGUAUGGAAGGGCCAUCGCUCAACGGAUAAAAGGUACUCUGGGGAUAACAGGCUGAUACCGCCCAAGAGUUCAUAUCGACGGCGGUGUUUGGCACCUCGAUGUCGGCUCAUCUCAUCCUGGGGCUGUAGCCGGUCCCAAGGGUAUGGCUGUUCGCCAUUUAAAGAGGUACGUGAGCUGGGUUUAAAACGUCGUGAGACAGUUUGGUCCCUAUCUGCCGUGGGCGUUGGAAGUUUGAAGGGGGCUGCUCCUAGUACGAGAGGACCGGAGUGGACGAACCUCUGGUGUACCGGUUGUGACGCCAGUCGCAUCGCCGGGUAGCUAUGUUCGGAAGAGAUAACCGCUGAAAGCAUCUAAGCGGGAAACUCGCCUUAAGAUGAGACUUCCCCGGGGACUUGAUCCCCUUGAAGGGUCGUUCGAGACCAGGACGUUGAUAGGUCGGGUGUGUAAGCGCAGUAAUGCGUUCAGCUAACCGAUACUAAUUGCCCGUACGGCUUGAUC